CAGGGGCAGGAACAGCACCACCAGGGGCAGGAACAGCACCACCAGGGGCAGGAACAGCACCACAGGGACAGGAACAGCACCACCAGAGGAAGGAACAGCACCACCAAGGGCAGGAACAGCACCACCAGGGGCAGGAACAGCACCACCAGGGGCAGGAACAGCACCACCAGGGGCAGGAACAGCACCACCAGGGGCAGGAACAGCACCACCAGGGGCAGGAACAGCACCAGCAGGUAAAGGAACAGCAUCAACAGGUAAAGGAACAGCAUCAACAGGUAAAGGAACAGCAUCAACAGGUAAAGGAACAGCAUCAACAGGUAAAGGAACGGUACCAGCAGGUAAAGGAACAGAACCAGCAGGUAAAGGAACAGAACCAGCAGGUAAAGGAACAGCAGCGGAGCACAGCAGAGUGGGGGCCACUGCUCACACACAUCAGCCCUUUACAGAAGCCUCACACAGCAACGUACUAGUGUCUGCCUCUCUGACACUAUCCCAGCUGGCCACUACUAUCCCAGCUGGCCACUACUAUCCCAGCUGGCCACUACUAUCCUAGCUGGCCACUACUAUCCCAGCUGGCCACUACUAUCCCAGCUGGCCACUACUAUCCCAGCUAGCCACUACUAUCCCAGCUAGCCACUACUAUCCCAGCUGGCCACUACUAUCCCAGCUGGCCACCACUACAGGCCCAUCAAACAAUAAGGAGAGCUACCUAUGAUUUACUACAAGAUUUCUUCAAUAAAAAGCAUUUAUUUGUGUUCUUGACUUAAAGCGGAUUCAGAUUUUGGAAAACGAAACUCUUUUGCCGGAUUUUGCAUGUUGAGAGAGAUCAUACCGACAUAUAUUAGCAUACAAUAUGGCACAGUAUAUCCUCACUUAACCAAUAUAGCCAAACCUUUAAUUAUAUGAACACUAGAUGUGAUAUUACUCUAACUUAAUAUAACCUAUGAAUAUAU